rnacentral:rRNA from 1 species
AACUGGGAUUAGAUACCCCACUAUGCCUAGCCGUAAACUUUGAUGGAAACAUACAACUAACAUCCGCCAGGGAACUACAAGCGCCAGCUUAAAACCCAAAGGACUUGGCGGUGCCUCAGACCCACCUAGAGGAGCCUGUUCUA